rnacentral:rRNA from 1 species
GGGUUGUGAGGUUAAGCGACUAAGCGUACACGGUGGAUGCCCUGGCAGUCAGAGGCGAUGAAGGACGUGCUAAUCUGCGAAAAGCGUCGGUAAGGUGAUAUGAACCGUUAUAGCCGGCGAUGUCCGAAUGGGGAAACCCAGUGCAAUUCGUUGCACUAUCGUUAACUGAAUACAUAGGUUAACGAGGCGAACCGGGGGAACUGAAACAUCUAAGUACCCCGAGGAAAAGAAAUCAACCGAGAUUCCCCCAGUAGCGGCGAGCGAACGGGGAGCAGCCCGGAGUCUGAAUCAGCUUGUGUGUUAGUGGAAGCGUCUGGAAAGUCGCAGGGUACAGGGUGAUACUCCCGUACACUAAAACACACAGGUUGUGAACUCGAAGAGUAGGGCGGGACACGUGGUAUCCUGUCUGAAUAUGGGGGGACCAUCCUCCAAGGCUAAAUACUCCUGACUGACCGAUAGUGAACCAGUACCGUGAGGGAAAGGCGAAAAGAACCCCGGCGAGGGGAGUGAAAAAGAACCUGAAACCGUGUACGUACAAGCAGUAGGAGCCCACUUGUUGGGUGACUGCGUACCUUUUGUAUAAUGGGUCAGCGACUUAUAUUCUGUAGCAAGGUUAACCGUAUAGGGGAGCCGCAGGGAAACCGAGUCUUAACUGGGCGUUAAGUUGCAGGGUAUAGACCCGAAACCCGGUGAUCUAGCCAUGGGCAGGUUGAAGGUUGGGUAACACUAACUGGAGGACCGAACCGACUAAUGUUGAAAAAUUAGCGGAUGACUUGUGGCUGGGGGUGAAAGGCCAAUCAAACCGGGAGAUAGCUGGUUCUCCCCGAAAGCUAUUUAGGUAGCGCCUCGUGAAUUCAUCUUCGGGGGUAGAGCACUGUUUCGGCUAGGGGGUCAUCCCGACUUACCAACCCGAUGCAAACUACGAAUACCGAAGAAUGUUAUCACGGGAGACACACGGCGGGUGCUAACGUCCGUCGUGAAGAGGGAAACAACCCAGACCGCCAGCUAAGGUCCCAAAGUCAUGGUUAAGUGGGAAACGAUGUGGGAAGGCCCAGACAGCCAGGAUGUUGGCUUAGAAGCAGCCAUCAUUUAAAGAAAGCGUAAUAGCUCACUGGUCGAGUCGGCCUGCGCGGAAGAUGUAACGGGGCUAAACCAUGCACCGAAGCUGCGGCAGCGACACUAUGUGUUGUUGGGUAGGGGAGCGUUCUGUAAGCCGUUGAAGGUGGCCUGUGAGGGUUGCUGGAGGUAUCAGAAGUGCGAAUGCUGACAUAAGUAACGAUAAUGCGGGUGAAAAACCCGCACGCCGGAAGACCAAGGGUUCCUGUCCAACGUUAAUCGGGGCAGGGUGAGUCGACCCCUAAGGCGAGGCCGAAAGGCGUAGUCGAUGGGAAACAGGUUAAUAUUCCUGUACUCGGUGUUACUGCGAAGGGGGGACGGAGAAGGCUAUGUUGGCCGGGCGACGGUUGUCCCGGUUUAAGCAUGUAGGCGGAUGUUCCAGGUAAAUCCGGAACGUCACUAACGCUGAGGUGUGAUGACGAGGCACUACGGUGCUGAAGUGACAAAUGCCCUGCUUCCAGGAAAAGCCUCUAAGCAUCAGGUAACAUCAAAUCGUACCCCAAACCGACACAGGUGGUCAGGUAGAGAAUACCAAGGCGCUUGAGAGAACUCGGGUGAAGGAACUAGGCAAAAUGGUGCCGUAACUUCGGGAGAAGGCACGCUGAUGGUAGGUGAAGCGACUUGCUCGUGGAGCUGAAAUCAGUCGAAGAUACCAGCUGGCUGCAACUGUUUAUUAAAAACACAGCACUGUGCAAACACGAAAGUGGACGUAUACGGUGUGACGCCUGCCCGGUGCCGGAAGGUUAAUUGAUGGGGUUAUCCGUAAGGAGAAGCUCUUGAUCGAAGCCCCGGUAAACGGCGGCCGUAACUAUAACGGUCCUAAGGUAGCGAAAUUCCUUGUCGGGUAAGUUCCGACCUGCACGAAUGGCGUAAUGAUGGCCAGGCUGUCUCCACCCGAGACUCAGUGAAAUUGAACUCGCUGUGAAGAUGCAGUGUACCCGCGGCAAGACGGAAAGACCCCGUGAACCUUUACUAUAGCUUGACACUGAACACUGGUCCUUGAUGUGUAGGAUAGGUGGGAGGCUUUGAAGUGUGGACGCCAGUCUGCAUGGAGCCAUCCUUGAAAUACCACCCUUUAAUGGCUGGUGUUCUAACGUGGGCCCCUAAUCGGGGUUGCGGACAGUGUCUGGUGGGUAGUUUGACUGGGGCGGUCUCCUCCUAAAGAGUAACGGAGGAGCACGAAGGUCAGCUAAUCCUGGUCGGACAUCAGGAGGUUAGUGCAAUGGCAUAAGCUGGCUUGACUGCGAGCGUGACGGCGCGAGCAGGUGCGAAAGCAGGUCAUAGUGAUCCGGUGGUUCUGAAUGGAAGGGCCAUCGCUCAACGGAUAAAAGGUACUCCGGGGAUAACAGGCUGAUACCGCCCAAGAGUUCAUAUCGACGGCGGUGUUUGGCACCUCGAUGUCGGCUCAUCACAUCCUGGGGCUGAAGUAGGUCCCAAGGGUAUGGCUGUUCGCCAUUUAAAGUGGUACGCGAGCUGGGUUUAGAACGUCGUGAGACAGUUCGGUCCCUAUCUGCCGUGGGCGCUGGAGAAUUGAGGGGGGCUGCUCCUAGUACGAGAGGACCGGAGUGGACGCAUCACUGGUGUUCGGGUUGUCAUGCCAAUGGCAUUGCCCGGUAGCUAAAUGCGGAAGAGAUAAGUGCUGAAAGCAUCUAAGCACGAAACUUGCCCCGAGAUGAGUUCUCCCUGACUCCUUGAGAGUCCUGAAGGAACGUUGAAGACGACGACGUUGAUAGGCCGGGUGUGUAAGCGCAGCGAUGCGUUGAGCUAACCGGUACUAAUGAACCGUGAGGCUUAACCUUACAACGCCGAAG